AGCAUCCAUCUUUUGUAAUGAUACGGUCCUUUCUCUAGGACAUGUAGAAGCUCGUGUUCCGAUUCAAACUUGAUCUGGAAUUUAUCAAGACCUAACGGUCUUCCCACGAUCCUUCCUUCAAGGUUCCAGACAUGUGCCAUAAAGUCUAUUACAGCUCUUGGUUUUUGAAUCACAGGGUUUGUUAAUCUUCCAAUGAUUGUUAAACGGUUGGCUUCAAUUAGGUCUUCGUUUUCAUUGGCUGGUAUACGCACCGGAGGUCUUUUUGUUGGUGCCUGAGUAGGGGCUUGCCAUUUCUCCUUUUCAGAUCUACUGUAGCGUCGGUCCAUCUUCAGGGUGGGAGAGGGUCUUGUGUAAUUGGUGGUGUGACUUCCACGUGAAGUUGCCUGGAGGGAGUUUUUGAAAGAGGUUAUAUCAACCCAGAUUCAGGAGUGAGGUAUCUUUAUAUCUUCUCCAAGUGUAGUAAAUGCUGGUCGUGAUAAAAGCUUGAAAUUUUAAUGAGCUUUGAGGUUGUUGAGUAGUAAUCGUAGAGAGAGGUUAUUGCAACCCAAAUUUUCUAUCUUCUCUUCCAAGACUCUGUCAUAGUCGCUGGUUCUGCUCUCGGAGGUACCGUUCAGCGUGAGUAGAGAGAGCUGUGAGGCAUGGAGGAGCGGCUCAGGAGAUCCUGGCUGACCCACCGACUACGUCGGGGGCUGAACCCGGUGAAGUUACGGUCAGAAGCGUCGGCCGGAAAAUAGAACUGUCAAAGGACCGCUGGUUUCUUCUGAAAGUGGUAAACUUUUGAAAGUUUUCAGAAAUUUACAGUGAAUCGUCGUAGUAGAGCUUAUAUGAACGAUCUACGGUUUUA
rnacentral:lncRNA from 1 species